rnacentral:rRNA from 1 species
GCGGUUAAAAUGCUCGUAGUUUAAUUUCUGCUGAGGGUAAUCGGUCCACCCACUGGGUGAGUAAUUGUUUGCCCUUUGCAUUUUGUGAACAAUGCAUCUGCACUUGAUUGUGCUGUGUGUCCUGUUCAUGCAAUUUACUUUGAGGAAAUUAGAGUGUUUCGAGCAUGCAUAUGCACCGAGCACAUAGCAUGGAAUAAUUUACACUGAUCGUCGCUGUAUUUGUUGGUUUUUAGGGCUUCGAUAAUGACUGAUAGGGAUAAUUGGUGGUAUUCGCAUUUAAUAGUCAGAGGUGAAAUUCUUGGAUUUGUUAAAGACGAACUGCUGCGAAAGCAUUUGCCAACUAUGUUUUCAUUGAUCAAGAACUAAAGUUAGGGGAUCGAAGUCGAUCAAGAUACCGUCCUAGUCCUAACAAUAAACAAUGCCGACUAGGAAUUGAAGGUUGUCAAUUGCAUGACUCCUCCAGCAUCUUAUGACAAAUCCAAAGUAUUUGGGUUCCCGGGGGGAGUAUGGUCGCAAGGCUGAAACUUAAAGGAAUUGACGGAAGGGCCCCACCAGGAGUGGAGCCUGCGGCUUAAUUGACUCA